rnacentral:rRNA from 1 species
CUUUUGAAACAGGCUCUGAGACGCGCACACACCGCCCGUCACUCUCCCCCCGCACACCCAUAAAAUAUUCCUAAUACAUUAAAUGUCAGCACGGGGAGGCAAGUCGUAACAUGGUAAGUGUACCGGAAGGUGCACUUGGAAUAA